UACAGGGGGGGCAAGCGUUGUUCGGAAUUACUGGGCGUAAAGGGUCUGUAGGUGGCCAACUAAGUCAGACGUGAAAUCCCUCAGCUUAACUGGGGAACUGCGUCUGAUACUGAGUGGCUUGAGUGCAGGAGAGGAAUGCGGAAUUCCAGGUGUAGCGGUGAAAUGCGUAGAUAUCAGGAGGAACACCAAUGGCGAAGGCAGCUCGCUGGGACGGUACUGACGCUGAGACGCGAAAGCGUGGGGAGCAAACAGG
rnacentral:rRNA from 1 species